CAUCACUAGCUUCAAUCAUGCAUGGGCUGAGCAUGUAACGCAGGUAGAGAUGUCAAAAUGGGUUAAAAUUCAUGGGUUAACUCAACUCAAUUCAACCCAUGAACUCUAAUGAGUUGAAAAUUUUGACUCAAAUGAGUUAAUGGGUCAAAUGAGUUGAUGAGUCAAUUGGUUUGAUGAGUAAAAUGAGUUGGGUUGUAAUGGUUAAUGAUUUCAAUGGUUUACCCAAUUAACCCAUCAAGUUUUGUAAAAUUGAAUUAAACCAACUAAAAUUUCUAAACCAAUGCCAAUUUAAGUUUAACCAACACAUUUAAACCAAUUUAAUAAAAUUAAUAUUUUUCCAAAUUUCUUAAAUAUACAAGCGAUGAAAUUGAUAAAAAGUAAACUCGUAAUUUUUCACUAAAAAGAUAAACCCGUGAUUUUCCCGCCAAAAACGUAAAUCCAUAAUUUUCCCGCCAAAAACGUAAACUCGUAAUUUUCCAGCCAAAAACGCAAAUCCGUAAUUUUCCCGCCAAAAACGUAAACUCGUAAUUUCCCGCCAAAAACGUAAACCCGUGAUUUUCCCGCCAAAAACGUAAAUCCGUUAUUUUCCCGCCAAAACGUAAACUCAUAAUUUUCCCGCCAAAAACGUAAAUCCGUAAUUUUCCCGCCAAAAACGUAAACUCGUAAUUUUCCCGCCAAAAACGUUAACCCGUGAUUUUCCCGCCAAAAACGUAAACCCGAGAUUUUCCUGUCAAAAAUGUAAACCCGUAAUUUUCCCACCAAAAACAUAAACCCGUAAUUUUCCUGCCAAAAACGUAAACCUAUAAUUUUCUCGCCAAAAACAUAAACCUGUGAUUUUUCCGCCAAAAACGUAAACCCGUAAAAAGUGGAAUCCGUAAAUAUUUUAAGUUUGAUGAUAAUGAAUUAAUAAUA
rnacentral:sRNA from 1 species